UACGGAGGGAGCUAGCGUUGUUCGGAUAUACUGGGCGUAAAGCGCACGUAGGCGGCGCCGUAAGUCAGGGGUGAAAUCCCGGAGCUCAACUCCGGAACUGCCCUUGAAACUGCAGUGCUAGAAUCUUGGAGAGGCGAGUGGAAUUCCGAGUGUAGAGGUGAAAUUCGUAGAUAUUCGGAAGAACACCAGUGGCGAAGGCGACUCGCUGGACAAGUAUUGACGCCGAGGUGCGAAAGCGUGGGGAGCAAACAGG
rnacentral:rRNA from 1 species